rnacentral:lncRNA from 1 species
GUCUCUAUAGGCAACAUGCAUGUCAUCAAAACCCUGCAUCCUGUAAAAGUUAGGAAAGUGAUCUUGAAAAUACAAACCAUUCAAAUCUUAGUCUCAAUGCAAAAUAAGAUAAAAUAAAAUAAAAAUAAAAAUAAAUGUAAAUAAAUGGGAAAAAAGUAAAAUGAAAAGAAAAACCAUGGGUUGCCUCCCACGCAACGCUUGUUUAACGUCAUUAGCUUGACGAUCAGAAUUUAUACACCUGUAGUAGUAGGAAUCGGUGGAUCAAUCAGGGUGUGGCUUGAGUAGUAUG